GUGGUUUGUUUUACAGAAAAAAAAUAUGAUGAUGGUAUUAAAGAAUGCACAAAAGCAUUGGAGCUAAACCUUAACUACAUAAGUGUUUUGCUAAGAAGAGCAGAGGUGUAUGAAAAGUUGUAACAAUUUGAAGAGACUAUAGCAGAUAUGACAAAGGUUUUGGAAGUUGACCCAUCAUAUGAUCAAGCUAGAAGACAGAUUGUUCGCUUGAAGCCAUUAGCAGAUGAAAAACGUCAAAAGAUGAAGGAAGAAAUGAUUGUUGACCAUUGGUGGUAUGAACUUCUUUGGGUAGUUGCUGUUAAAUGAUUCUUUUUUGCUCUUCACGUGUAAAUAUAGGAAUGCUUCAUUUUUGCAAAAGAAAAUGUGUUCUAGGGGAGAAGAGUGGAGGAGGAGGAGAGGAUCUGGAAUUUUUGCAAAAGUAAAAGGAGCUAGUGUGAGCUGAGGUGGCUAGUGCAUUCGGAAGAUUCUGGAGGAAGGGGAAGGUUAAUGUGAGCAGAUAAAGCUUUGCUUCAGGUGCUGCUAAAGAAUAGAUGCUUGUGGAAGUGGACAAACGAUUACUGAGAUUAGCACAAGGAUGGUUUAAGGGAAAUGUAAGCUGAGGGAAAUUGGAAAUUGCAAUUCUGGUCAAUUUGGA